UCUGUCCAGGGUGGUUAGUCAAUACCCGGUCACAGGAUUCCUGCCUGACGCCAGCUCCUAGCACAGCUGAAGUCAAGUGAUGUCACCGUGGUGCUUCGGCUGUUUCUACCAGCAGAAACUGAAAGGGCUCUGGUAGUUCGCCUUGGUCUGGAUCAUUGGGAACAUCUAGUGUGAUGGACUGAGAACUACAGAGAAUAUGAACAUCCAGCUGUGGUUGUUUGAAGAGUCUUUUCUCCUUCAUCACUGUGAGGAAGAGUAGCACUGAUGUCCUCCUCAUCCUUCCAGUAAUAAAAAUAAUGCUGCAGAUUCAGCUCCUCUCUUCUUAUUCAUAUUCUUAUUCAUAUCUAUGGUAUUGACUACCCACCCUGGACAGAAAGCCCCUCCCAGAGCCAUUUGAUUGACAGCUCAGUCCACCAAGUAAAAGCAAAGGCUUUUGUCAUUGCUUUUACUUGGUGGACUGAGGAAAAAGCAAUGGCAAAAUGGAAAAGACAAUGUCAAAAGGAAAAGGCAAUGUCAAAAGGAAAAGACAAUGACAAAAUUGAAAAAUAAAAAGAAAAAAGAGAAAGGGGAAAAGCAAAGACAAAAUUUACCUUUUAAUUUAUUCUUUUAUUUAUUCUUUUAUUUAUUCCUCUUUAUAUUUACACAUUUAUUUCCUUAUUUUUAACAGAUUUAUUUAUUUAUUUAUUCCUCUUUAUAUUUACACAUUUAUUUUCUUAUUUUUUAACAGAUUUUUAUUUUAUUGUGGCACUCCUGUGACUCCAUAGCCUUUUUCCGGGAACAACUGAAAAAUAAUGUACAUUUCAGAAUUAUACAAAAAGGCCUUUUUCAGGGAACAAGAAAUGGGUUAACAACAUAAAGCUGUUCUGCAGCAAUGGAGGUUGAUCAACCAUUGAAAGUUGGUGCUACCAAAUCCUACAAGUGUCCCAACUUUUCUUGAUUACUUCCAACCCCUUCUGUCUGUAUAAAAGUAGUAUAAAAGUAGUAUUGGAACACACCUGGCACCAUACCCACGAGAGCAUUAUUUGAACAGUAUUAUACUGCAGAAAGUAGUGUGUUGCUAUAAAAAUGUUGAGGAAAAGGCAAUAGAAGAGAGACAGACCAUCAUAACACAUAAAUGUAAGUCUUUCCUACAGAGAAAUUGUGAAGAAAGUCAAGGGGUCAGUGAGUUUAGUUUUCUCUGACAGAAAGAGGUCUGGAAAACUCAAAGUCACAACAGAAUCAGAAGACAAGUUUCUGAGAGUCAACAGCUUGCCUGAUAGGCUCAUUUGUUUGUUCUAUGCUUUCAUUUCAGAACACAAUGAGACAUUAACGUGUAAUUUCCAAUAAAAAAAUUGAAAAAGUUGGGGUGUUCCAAAACUUUUGGCUGGUGGUUUAUGUGCAACAAAAAAAAAUCUGUUGCAUAUUAUCAAAGAUUAUCAUGCAUUUCUGCCUUUAAGAUGAAUGAGUUCUACAGAAUAUUGUGGCACCCUGUGUAUCAACAAGCUUAAUGCCUUUAACAGUGGGAGAGCCCUCUAUUAACCAUGCACACAACAUUCCUGCACAGACUGAAAACAGGCCUUUUCCCCAAAUCACUCAGACAUAAAUUUAAAACUAUUGAAGUGAAUAAUAUGUUGUAGUGAUGCCUGUCAAAGAGAUGGAAAAUACAGUUGUGAACAAAAGUUUCCACAUCCAUCCCACAUGUACAAAAUGUCAGGCUUGAAUUUCUACUGACUCCUACAAAACAUAUUUUUAAUGAUGAUUUAAUUUAAUGAUUGAAGCACGUGUUCUCAGAUUUAUUAUAGAUCCUCUGGAAAUCCUCUGGACAGUUAAAACCCUUGACCAUUUUGACCUCAACUAAGUGCCUUUGGAAGCCAUCUACAAGCUUCUGGUUGUAUCUUUGACCACUCCUCUUGGCAGAAUGAUUACAGUUAAACUAAAUUUGUUGGCUUUCUGAUACAGACUUGCUUUUUCAUCUCAAUUCACAAGUUCUUGAUGGGGUUUAAGUCAGGACUUUUGGGAUGCCAGUCUAAAACCAUAAUUCUAGCCUGAUUUAAAAACCCAACUGAGUCCACGACCCAACGUUCUUGCUGAUGAUAGGUUUUCCUGAAGAAUGUAGAAGUGGUCCUCCUUCUCUUUUUUCCCAUUUACUUUGUGUAAAGCACCAGUUCCACUGACAGCAAAACAGGCCCAGAGCAUAAUAUUACCACCACCAUUCUUGACGGUAGGUUUGGUGUUCUUUGGGUUAAAGGCCUCAUCUUCUCUCCUCCAGACAUAUUUCUGAUCAUUGUGGCCAAAUAGCUCAAUUUUUGUUUCGUCUGAUCACAGAACUUUCCUCCAGAAGGCCUUUUUGUUUGUCCAUGUGAUCAACAGUAAACUCCAGUCUAGCCUGGAGGAUUUGUUUCUACAGGAAGAGCUUCUUUCUUGCACAGUAGUCUCUCAGCCCAUGGCAAUAUAAAACACACUCGACUGUGGAAACUGACAUCUGUGUUCCAGAAGCUGCUAAUUCAUUGCAGACUUGCUUUUUAGUGAUUCUUGGCUGACUCUUGACAUCCUGAUACAUUAUUACUCAGCAGCAGGUAGUUUGUUUUCUUCCUAAUCGUAGCAGUGAAACCACAACUGUGCCAAGCACUUUAUACUUACAAACAACUGUUUGCACAGAUGGUUUGGGAUCUGUGGCUCCAAGUGACUGUCCUGACUUGUUGAAGUCACUAAUUUGCUUUUUCAGAUCUUUGCUGAGCUCCUCAGACUUUCCCAUUAUAGUGUUUGGGAGCAGAGUCUAAAGUGCAUAUCAAAUGGGCCAAUUUAAAUUGUCUCAGAGAAGUCAACAGCUGUCGUCAAUCAAAAUCACUCACAAGAAGUUAAGAGUUCAUGCCACAAAGACAAUUAGAUUAACACAGCUUUCUAGAUCACCCAAACUGAAAAUUCAAGUAACUCUAUCUAUAUUUUUGACCCAGGAGAUUGUGUCAUAUUUCCAGAAGACCUACAUACAAAAAUAAAUCUAUAAACAAACAAAAUGUACGAUUGUUUUUUUCAGAAAAGAUGCAUUUGUUUAAAUGGGUCCAUCAUAAAAAAUUCACCGUUAUUGGAAUCACUGGAAACUUAAGCCUGCCAUGAUAUACGUGGUCUUUACAAGUGUACUUUUGUUCACAACUGUAUUCGGCAGGAAGUAAGCAGUCAGUUCAUGAAUUUCACGUUUUAGAAACAGGAGAAAUGAUUAGCAGAUCUGGGUGACUUUGACAAGGAUCAAACUGUGAUAGCUACAUGGGUCAGACUAUCUCCAGAAUAGCAGGGGUGUGUGGGGUGUUCCAGGUGUCCAGUGGUUAGUAGCUUCCAAAAGUGAUCCAAGGAUAGACAACCAGGGAACAAGUGACAGGGUUAUGGAUAGCCAAGGGUCACUGAUGUGUUUGGUGUGCAAAGACAAGACAAUAUGCUUAAUCCCGCAGAAGAAUUACUUUAUCACAAAUUGGUAAACAGACAAACAAACAAAACAAAACCCAAUGUUGCUAUAAUUAAAAAGUCAGAACAGAGUGCGUUGCAGCUUGCUUUGUACAGAAUGCCCAUGCUGACUCCUGUCCACUGCCAAUAACGCCUAUGAGAAUCAGAACUGGAUCAAGGAACAAUGAUAGAAGUAGCCUAGUUUGAUGAAUUUAAAUACUCUGUAACACCAUGUGCACAACUGGUAGGUACAGUGUGAUGCCCUGGGCAAUGUUGGGAAACCUUAAUUUCUGGCAUUCACGUGGAUGUAACUUCGACCAAUGUGAUAACACAUUGUUACAGAUCAUGUACACUCCUUCACUGCAACCACUGGCGGCAGUUUACUCUUGCAGUGGGAUAACACAUACUGCUUUGGGAAUGGUUUUAGGGGCAUAAUAGAGUUCAACAUGUUGAUUUUGCCACCAAAUUCCCCUGAUCUCAAUUACAGAUCUGUAGGUGUCUGUGUGAUGUGCCUGAAAAAUUUGUUUGAUCCACGGAGGCCCACCUCUCAACAACCAGGACUUACAUUUUUUAAAGGCAGCAUCUCAACAAAUGAGAGAACAGUAAAGUAGAAACAAAUGGAAUGAAAGCAUCAUUUUAAAAACAAUCAAUGAUUAAGAGCAGUAGAGUGGUACAUAGCCUGACAUGACUCUUUUGCACUGAUGGAAUUAAUGCUAUAAACUUUAUGCUGAAUGUCCCAUGUGACCUAGUGGGGGUAAUGUAACAGAGUGCAUGCUCAAGUACUGUACUUAGUUGCAGUUUUCAAAAUACUUAACUACUUUGACUUUAAGUAUGCUUUAUAAAACUCUGCACUACAUUAAAAAGUCAAAUAUUUUUGCAUGUACAUUUCCAACAUUUGCAGUUACUUUUUUAAAAAUAUUUUACAUUUUAAAAGAUUAGAAAGGCCUACAAAGUGCAAAGUAUGUGUUAAAUGUUACAUAUCAAAACUUAGGUAUUCACAACUUUAGGCAACAGGGUCUGGUUGUAACUCUGCUCUAGCUGCAACAAUUAGUUGUAGAUACACUGAGAUGUAAACUUCUGGCAUGUUUUCAUUUAAAUAACUGUUAAUAAUAAUGUUUGAUCAAAAGUCUAAGAAAUAUGAAUCUCUGAGAGAAUGUUGUGUAAUGUGAUCUUCUAGAGCCACCCAUUGUGCAACAAGCUCUUUUGUCAUAUAAUCUGAGAUUGUCUACAUUAUAGGACAAUAGUAAUGUGAAUAUCUGUUAAAUCACUCUUACCUGCAGAAUCAAUGUAUUAAACUGUAGUCUCUCAUCCAAUCCUAGAUUCUUAUGUAAAGUACUUCAUGACAACAGAGAUAACGUGUACAAUUACUGCAUACCACAAAUCAGAUUUUAUUUUAUAAAUGAUGUUAGGAGCUGUUAGUAGAGACUAUUACAUUGCAAAGAAACAAUAACAAUAAUGGCAAAAAAAUAAUAGAAAAUAAAGAAAUGUUCAUAGAUCCAUUGCACUGUUGCAUGUUUGAUCUCCUAGCUGGCGACAUACACUAUCGUUCAAAAGUCUGGGCUCACCCAGGCAAUUUCAUGUUUUCCAUGAAAACUCACACUUUUAUUCAUGUGCUAACAUACAUGCACAAGGGUUUCCUAAUCAUCAACUAGCCUUUCAACACCAUUAGCUAACACAAUGUAGCAUUAGAACACAGGAGUGAUGGUUGUUGGAAAUGUCCCUCUGUACCCCUAUGUAGCCAUUUCCAGCUAGAAUAGUCAUUUACCACAUUAAGAAUGUCUAGACUGGAUUUCUGAUUAACGUUGUCUUCAUUGAAAACAACUGUUUCUCUUUCAAAAAUGUAGGCAUUUCUAAGUGACCCGAAAUUUUUGAACGAUAGUGUAUGUUACAUUAAAAAACAUGCUCUGAGAUCACAACUGACAACCACUGUUGUGGAGACUUGGGGUGUAACUCUCAACAUGCCUGGCACUUGUGUCUCUCCCAGCCUGGUCUGGGUGUGGCGUUCACUUUGUACUUGGCUGGCUGGAGGACCACACCAAACUUGCCCUCUAGGCUGGGCAGAGCGUGGCCUGGUGGGACAGAGAGAGUGAAGCGCUGCAGGAUCCAGGACAGGAAGAGGAAGAGCUCCAUCUUAGCCAAGGCCUCACCUAAACAUACUCUGACCCCAGCACCAAAUGGAAGGUAGCUGGACGAUGGGAUGAUCAGACCUGUGCCUUCAUUGUCCAAGAACCUGCCUACAGAACAAGAACAGCUGGGUUUGCCUGAUGGACACCAGUGCAGAUGAUCACUGAAGUAAGCUUCUCAUGUAUUGAGAACAUACACUGAUCAGCCACAACAUUAUGACCACUGACAGGUGAAGUCAAUAACAUCGAUCAUCUUGUUAUAAUGCAACAUUCUGCUGGGAACCAGUUGCCAUUCUCAGCAGGACGAUGCACCCCGACACACCGCAAAAACUGCUCAGGAGUGGCCCAAGGGACACGAGCCAAGAGCUAAGGUGUUCACCUGGGUCCAACACUCCCCAGAUCAAAAUCUUAUUGAGGAUCUGUGGGAUGAUCCAGGAUAAGCCUGAUCUAGGUAGGUCCCACCCUGCAACCCACAGGACCCACAGAAUUCACUGCCACCAUCCUGGUGACACAGGACAUCCCCAGAGGUCCUGUUUCCAUGCCCCACUGGGUCAGAGGAGUUUCAGCAGCAUAAAGGAGACCAACAAAAUAUUAGGCAGUUGGUCAUAAUGUUAUGCCUGAUCAGUCAGAUAUCACUAUUUUUCUACAUAGUGGUAUCUAUCAUUCAUAAAGUUAUGGUUUCAUUUGUCUUGAAUUUGAGGUAUUGGUCAAAUGCCAAAACAAUAGAGGUGAAUGUAAAUGAAAGAACAUAGGUUUCCUGAAUCUAUGGUGACGUUUGUUGAGAUAUAGUUCAAUGUAGUUUUAUUUAUAUAGCAUUAAUUGAUAACAUGAGUCAUUUCAGUGAACUUCACAUAGUAACAAUAUUAAAAUAUUAUAAACUUAACAAUUCCCUUUAAGCAAGAACCUGACAAUGGUGUGAGAUCUGGAUCUUUGUACAUAAGGAGAAACAUUGCUGCUAAAUACUAUUUUUCAGAAUUGUGAGACUGUAAAUGAAAUUCCAUUGUCUUUGGUUGCACUGAGGUGAACUAUCAAUUCCUCAACAUAUUCUGCAUGUCACUCAAAGUGUAAGUCAUGUCAGGAUUCACAUAUGUUUUACUGCAUUAGACCAGUAAUCCCGGUAUAUAAAAGUGGCUCAGAUGGGUGAUAGCCACGUCUUUGAUAACUGUAACAGUAGCCAGAGAUGCUUUAUUCCUUUGUAUCCCCAUUAAUCAGCCUUUAUUGAACUCAGUAAAACAAAGCUUAUCUGUCACGGCUCCUAAUGGACGUUGUCCAUCAAACACACAUCUACUGGCUCCAUAAAUGACAGGAUAAAAUAUGACUCAUCAGACAGAUGUUUUAUCUCACCAGGGUCAAAGAGCUCAGGAUUUUUCCAUUCCUUCUCAUCAUGGUGCAGAGACCACAGGUUGAUGAUGACUCGAGUUCCUUUUCUAACUGUGAAAUCUCCGAUGCUACAGAGCAGAUAGAAAGAGGAGCUCACAGUUACAGAGUUUUCUCAGAUUUAAAAUUUACAGAUUUAAAAUUCUUCUCUGUGUCUGAGAAGAAUACCUUACAAACCAUGAGCAAAUUCUCCAGAAUAAGUUUGUCACUAUGGCAUAACACAGUGUAAUGAUCACAUAUUGAGCUUUUGCAUUGUUUCCAUCCUGUCAGAGGUGGAUGUCAGUGAACGGCCCUGAGUAGGUGUCAUGGCAGCAUUGAGUGUACCUGGUGUCAUUAAGGGCCACGUGGGGGAUGAACAGGGGGGCCACAGGGCGGAUCCGUAACACCUCCCUGAUAGUGGCCUCCAGGUAGGGCAGAGUGCCUCUGUCACUGAGUUUGGGGGACCGGUCCUCUCCCACCUUACUGUCCAGCUCAUCCUGAAUUCGUCUCUGCACCUAAAUACACACAAAUAGAAAAGGUCCAUAUAUUCUACACCAGGGACACAAUUUGUUGAAGACUUUGAAAAGGUUUCUCUGUUUUUGGUUUUGAUAUACACUAUUGUUCAAAAGUUUGGGGUCACUUAGAAAUGUCCUUAUUAUUGAAAAAAAACUACAUUUUAAAAAAAAUUAAGAUAACAUUAAAUUAAUCAGAAAUACAGUCUAGACAUUUUUAAUGUGGUAAAUGAAUAUUCUAGCUGCAAAUGGCUGAUUUUUAAUGGAAUAUCUACAUAGGGGUACAGAGGAACAUUUCCAGCAGUCAUCACUCCUGUGUUAUAAUGGUACAUUGUGUUAGCUAAUGGUGCUGAAAGGCUAAUUGAUGAUUAGCAAACUCUUGUGUAAUUAUGUUAGCACAUGAAUAGAAGUGUGAGUUUUCAUGGAAAACAUGAAAUUCCCUGGGUGACCCCAAACUUUUGAAGAGUAGUGUAUAAAAAUGUUAUUUUCACCCUGUGUCAAUAGUGAACAGUUUAGAAGCAGACAGAAUGACCUAUAAGAAGUUCAUGCUGACAAACUGCAUGUUCCCUGCAGCUGCUUUGUAGCAAUUUUAUAGCAGCUUGUGGGAUAUUUUGAUUUUAUUAGUGAGGCAUUGAUGCCACUUAUCACAGCUGCUGACUUUGUUUGUGGGAAUGCGAUUGAUCAUGGAACAUCUGUGAUCCAAAGAGAUGCUUUGAAAUCUGGAUUAUUGUAGAUCAUGAUUUUCAUCAAUCACUGGGGCAUAAAAAUAGUAGCAAUAAAGCACAGCUGCCACAGCC